rnacentral:rRNA from 1 species
UAACGCGUAGGUAAUCUACCCCAAAAUCUGGAAUAACCUGCCGAAAGGCGGGCUAAUACUGGAUAGAGCGACGGAAUCGGUAAUUCGGUUUUUCGGGAAAGGGAGCUCGUAAGGGCCCUCGUUUUGGGAUGAGCCUGCGUCUCAUUAGCUAGUUGGUAGGGUAACGGCCUACCAAGGCAUUGAUGGGUAGCUGGUCUGAGAGGAUGAUCAGCCACACUGGAACUGAAACACGGUCCAG